rnacentral:rRNA from 1 species
AACGAACGCUGGCGGCAUGCCUAACACAUGCAAGUCGAACGAGACCUUCGGGUCUAGUGGCGCACGGGUGCGUAACGCGUGGGAACCUGCCCUUAGGUUCGGAAUAACUCCCCGAAAGGGGUGCUAAUACCGGAUAAUGUCUUCGGACCAAAGAUUUAUCGCCUUUGGAUGGGCCCGCGUUGGAUUAGCUAGUUGGUAGGGUAAAAGCCUACCAAGGCGACGAUCCAUAGCUGGUCUGAGAGGAUGAUCAGCCACACUGGGACUGAGACACGGCCCAGACUCCUACGGGAGGCAGCAGUGGGGAAUAUUGGACAAUGGGCGAAAGCCUGAUCCAGCAAUGCCGCGUGAGUGAUAAAGGCCUUAGGGUUGUAAAGCUCUUUUACCCGGGAUGAUAAUGACAGGACCGGGAGAAUAAGCUCCGGCUAACUCCGU